rnacentral:lncRNA from 1 species
UUCAGGCAGUCAAUUGACAUUGCGAUUGUGGCACUGGACCAGAUUUUUUUGGUUCGAGUUGCAACAUUAUGAACAUUCAAUGAGUUUGUAGAUGCCCUCAAAUUAACAAUCCAUAAAGCAAAGAGGAAAAAAUACAUCUUCCAAACACAAAAGAAAGGGGGGAAAGAAAAAGAAAAUGGUAGGAAAGUAGGGGAUAUGGAGGUCAUCCUCUAAUGGUGGGUUCAACGUAGACUAUACUCUCUUGGCAAUCACACCAAUGAUGGAAGGAUAAAGGUUGCGCAAAAGACCGAGAAAGUGGUUUAUUCAUAGUUUUCAUUGCAUGUAACAAAGUUUUAACG